rnacentral:lncRNA from 1 species
CUGCUCCUAAAUCUCUUUGUUGAUGUUUAUGCAGUUAAUAAUGUGCACACCUAUAAAGCAGCUCACUGUUUGCCUGUCACAUUUUGUUCCUAUGACAACCUAGAAACGCAGAGCAGGAUCAAAGGAAUCAUCGUGUCAUGUGAGCACCCACUUCCUGGGGUCGACGAUGCAAGGAAUUAACAAUUUGAGUCGAGGAAAUCGGGAAACCCUCAACUACCGGCACUCACCACUGGGAGGUGCUGCUAAGCUGUUGUCUGUCCUGCAUGCCUGCUCCUGGCCAUCUGACUGAAGGUAAGAGUAAUUAAGGUGGGAUCUAGGGUUGCAAAAUUCCAAUAACUUUCCUUCUAAUUCACAGGUUUUCCAGAAAUACUGGUUAAAAGAUUCCCAGAAUAUGAAGAAAUAAGCAGGGAAUCUGGAAUCCUCCAAAUACGAUUUCUGGGAAUUUUGAUAGUUGAUCAAAAUUUACUCGACGCUACCAAGCUUAUGGGAAACACAACCCAGACUGUUACUCAGUUACUCAUGUGGUUCAUACUCUGUCUGUUGUUCUGUGCUUUCAUGUUGAAAGAGAACGUGGGGGGGGUAGGAAAUAAGGAAAGUGAGGGAGAGAGGGAGGGAGAAAGGAUAAGAGGGAAAGAGAGCGACAGAGAGAGCAUUUUCUAACCUCCUGCCCAAUGUAUGACCAUAUUAGAGACACAUAUUUCCCUCAGAUUACACAGAUCCAUAAAGAAUUCGAAAACAAACCCGAUUUUGAUAAAGUCCCAUAUCUACUGGGUGAAAUACCACAGUGUGCCAUCACCGCAGCAAGAUUUGUGACCUGUUGCCACAAGAAAAGGGCAACCAGUGAAGAACAAACACCACUGUAAAUAAAACCCAUAUUUAUGCUUAUUUAUUUUCCCUUUUGUACAUUAACCAUUUGUACAUUGUUACAACACUGUAUAUAUACAUAAUAUGACAUUUGUAAUGUCUUUAUUCUUUUGAAACUUCUGUACGUGUAAUGUUUACUGUUCAUUUUGAUUGUUUAUUUCACUUUUGUAUAUUAUCUACCUCACUUGCUUUGGCAAUGUUAACAUAUGUUUCCCAUGCCAAUAAAGCUCCCUGAA